rnacentral:rRNA from 1 species
AGAUUGAAGAAGCUUGCUUCUGAUUGAUAACAUUUGAGUGAGUGGCGGACGGGUGAGUAACACGUGGGUAACCUGCCCUAAAGUGGGGGAUAACAUUUGGAAACAGAUGCUAAUACCGCAUAAAACCUAGCACCGCAUGGUGCAAGGUUGAAAGAUGGUUUCGGCUAUCACUUUAGGAUGGACCCGCGGUGCAUUAGUUAGUUGGUGAGGUAAAGGCUCACCAAGACCGUGAUGCAUAGCCGACCUGAGAGGGUAAUCGGCCACACUGGGACUGAGACACGGCCCAGACUCCUACGGGAGGCAGCAGUAGGGAAUCUUCCACAAUGGACGAAAGUCUGAUGGAGCAACGCCGCGUGAGUGAAGAAGGUUUUCGGAUCGUAAAACUCUGUUGUUGGAGAAGAACGUAUUUGAUAGUAACUGAUCAGGUAGUGACGGUAUCCAACCAGAAAGCCACGGCUAACUACGUGCCAGCAGCCGCGGUAAUACGUAGGUGGCAAGCGUUGUCCGGAUUUAUUGGGCGUAAAGCGAGCGCAGGCGGUUUCUUAAGUCUGAUGUGAAAGCCUUCGGCUCAACCGAAGAAGUGCAUCGGAAACUGGGAAACUUGAGUGCAGAAGAGGACAGUGGAACUCCAUGGU